rnacentral:misc_RNA from 1 species
AACGCACAUUGCGCCCUUUGGUAUUCCUUAGGGCAUGCCUGUUCGAGCGUCAUUAAGUUCAUCAAGCACGGCUUGUUGUUGGGCGCCUGUCCCGCCUCCGGCGCGGACUCGCCUCAAAACGAUUGGCAGCCCCUCCCGGCGGCACGGAGCGCAGCAGAAUUGCGACUCCUCCCGCGGGGACGGCGGCACCCAGAAGCCUCUCCUUUCAGAUGGACCUCGGAUCAGGUAGGGAUACCCGCUGAACUUAA